GCUGGGUGUGGUGGUGUGCGCCUGUAAUCCCAGCUACUCUGGAGGCUGAGGCAGGAGACUCGCUUGAACCCGGGAGGUGGAGGUUGCGGUGAGCCGAGAUCGCGCCACUGCACUCCAGCCUGGGCAACAGAGCGAGACUCCGUCUCAA
rnacentral:sRNA from 1 species